rnacentral:rRNA from 1 species
UAGGGAAUCUUCGGCAAUGGACGAAAGUCUGACCGAGCAACGCCGCGUGAGUGAAGAAGGUUUUCGGAUCGUAAAACUCUGUUGUUAGAGAAGAACAAGGACGUUAGUAACUGAACGUCCCCUGACGGUAUCUAACCAGAAAGCCACGGCUAACUACGUGCCAGCAGCCGCGGUAAUACGUAGGUGGCAAGCGUUGUCCGGAUUUAUUGGGCGUAAAGCGAGCGCAGGCGGUUUCUUAAGUCUGAUGUGAAAGCCCCCGGCUCAACCGGAGAGGGUCAUUGGAAACUGGGAGACUUGAGUGCGGAAGAGGAGAGUGGAAUUCCAUGUGUAGCGGUGAAAUGCGUAGAUAUAUGGAGGAACACCAGUGGCGAAGGCGGCUCUCUGGUCUGUAACAGACACUGAGGCUCGAAAGCGUGGGGAGCAAACAGG